GCGGGGAUGGCGGAAUUGGUAGACGCGUAUGGUUGAGGGCCAUAUAACCUUCGGUUGUGAGAGUUCAAAUCUCUUUCUCCGCACCA
rnacentral:tRNA from 1 species